AAUUUAAAUGAUUAUAUAAGGCGGUGCUGCUGAAAUGUAUAAAAAUCAAAGUGGCAAGAACCAAGUGUUCUUUGUUCCAGUUUGACUGACUUGAACGUAACAGCGUGUCUCAGCUACACUCUGCUCAUCUCGAGUCUUCGCUCCUCAUUUGCUUCAGAGCAUCUCACCUGCUGCUCCAGACGACCAACUUGUGCCUGAACUGCUGCAGGUUAACCAACCAACCAACCAACCAACCAACCAACCAACCACUCAUCAAGGAUCAUGCAGGUUCAAUUUGUCUGUUUGCUGCUGGGCCUGAUUUCUGCUGUGGAGCUGUCUGCAAGCCUGGACUUCUAUCAGAAACAUGUCAUUGGAUUCAUGCACCCAGAUGAAUGUACUACAGUGAUGCAGAUGAGACACAUCAGAGGUCAUUUUGGUACAUGCAAAAAAGUAAACACAUUUCUUCUGGGCGCACAUCAAAGGGUCCAAAACAUCUGUGCAGGUAUCAGUGGACAACGAAGUUUUAGCUUUAAUGUUGUUGUAUGCAAGCAUCAGUUCAGUUUACGCCCUGGUUGCAGAUAUGUGGGUCAACGCCAUGACAACAGGAUUGUUGUUAUAAAGUGUAAACACGGGGUGCCAGUCCACUUAGGUUAAACCAUUCCAAAUCAUUCUGUAUAGUUCAGUUGUGGUUAGUCUAAAGUUGACAGCCAUCCUGGCUACAAUCUCAUGUUAUUGCUUGUCAUGA